CCCAAAUAGCAAAAGCAAAAGGAAGCUUCAGACGUCAUUGUAAGCUUCCUAAUAGUCUUCCAAAACAAUUUCCUAAUCAUCUCCUCAAAUCCCGUGACUAUUCCUUUCCUUCAACAUCUCUCCUUUUUCACCUUCCUGUGUAUAUAAUCUCUAAUGACCAAUUGGGCACUACGCCGUGGGGAGGAGCAGUGGAGCACAUCAUGCAUGGAUGCCCAUGCUGCUCACCAACCGCCGUGGUCGCCGCUGCACGGAAUACCACCAUGAGCACGGCCUCCUCAGCUGCUCCGACUCUCCGUAGUACUGCUCCUCCAGCUACCGGCCCUUCCCCUUCUAUUUUGAAUUUUCUAGAACAAUGGGUAAGCAGCUACCAACUAUGAAUGGAAUAAGUCUAAAAAGAAGCUUGGGUAUGCUGAUAUGUGCCUUCAGGUUAUAAGAUAAGGGAGCAAGUGAAACAACCCAGAAGCUUAUGAUAUUGUUACUGUGGAGAUACCCGGAAGCUUGCAUAUCCAGAAUCGAUCUUCACUUCAGCUACAAGUGAGGUAUAUUGAGCCUAUUGAUGCAUAGUUACAUAAAGAUAGAAGAAUUGGUUGCACUUUGUCAUUAUUACUUGUUUCUACAAGUAGCUCUCUACAUCUGGUUCCUGUAACGAGUAGUCUAUCUAUGGUUUGUUGGACAUGAUUAUUUACUUUGUUUACUUUUGAGAUCUACAUCUUAAAGAAAAAUCUCUGAAAUAUUCAUUAUACAAGGAGUUACAAACUUACAAUACUAUCAUGUUGUACUAAUACACAAGUAUUUUCUCAUGUUAACGGGAUUUCCCAGUAUAUGAUCCUUCCACAAAAAAAAUUGAUGCUUCUGCUUCUUUUCUUUCUGUACCACCGUCGAGAUUGCUGAUAUACAGAGGUAUUGCUGCCGAGCGUGACACCGCGCCGAUCUAUUUGAGCCCAACUGCAUCAAUUUUAGACGGAAGAUAAUGAUGCAAGGAGACCACCUGAGCACCUCCACUCCCUCAACACUGUCCCCCUACUGCCUGAGUUUACUGAAUAUUUUUUCUUGCUUCAACUAUAUCAAGGGAGCAAGUGCAACAACCCAGAAGCUUAUGAUAUUGCUACUGUGGAGAUACCCGGAAGCUUGCAUUGAUCCAGAAUCGAUCUUCACUUCAGCUACAAGUGAGGUAUAUUGAGCCUAUUGACGCAUAGUUACAUAAAGAUAGAAGAAUUGGUUGCACUUUGUCAUUAUUACUUGUUUCUACAAGUAGCUCUCUACACCUGGUUCAUGUAAUGAGUAGCCUGUCUAUCGUUUGUUGGACAUGAUUAUUUACUUUGUUUACUUUGAGAUCUACAUCUUACAGAAAUGUAGGGAAAGGCUGCGUACAAUAGACCCAAAGUGGUCGGACCCUUCCCCAGACCCUGCGCAAGCGGGAGCUACAUGCACUGGGGCUGCCCUUUUACUUUGAGAUCUACAUCUUAAAGAAAAAUCUCUGUCCACCAAUAACAUUGAUUUUGCUAAUUUCUUCCAUUUUCAUUGAUUUUGCUAAUUUCUGUAUGCCAUGUUAAUGAAUACAGAAAUCAUGAUCAUCUGAAACUACCUUUAACUAUGGUGAUGAGCAAAUUCAUCCCCUUCAAUGCAAAAUACAAAAUCCAUGUGAGCCAUCAUUGCUACCUGCCUCCUGAACGAUUGGUCAUCUCCUUUGCUUCUCUAUCAGUUGGUUUACGGUGCUGUUGAGGAGCUUUCAUGAUUUUGUGGUAUUCGUCAGAAGUAGAUCAGGUGCAAUACUUCGGUUUCAAAUGACCCUUACAAAUUUACCAUAAGUUAUUCAUUACUUUGGUUCUGUACUGCUGAUCCUUCCUCUGGUCAAUGUUCCUUAAUCUAAAAUUCUGAAUCUACAUACUCUCAUUCUAUUUCUGGGAAAAGAUCGGGGCUUCUGCUCCUUCGUCUAUUUUGUUUAACAUUUCUGCUGCUUCCAGAUGCAUUUCACUACGUGGCUAUGUGCACAUAAAUCAGUCAAGGAGCAGGCUUCAGUGAAGUGUGAUCCAGUACAUUUGUGAACAUUGUGCAGUUCUUGCUGAAUUCUGGACUUGACUGAACGGGUUCCCCCUAUUCCAAAUUUCUUUUUAAGUAUUUGGCAGUUAUCUUCAGCGUCCAAAUGGAAGUACUCCCUCCGUCCCAUAAUAUAAUAUCUUAUUGCACUCAUUUUGCUCAAAAAUUGGAUGUAAUACGAUCUUAUAUUAUGGGACGGAGGGAGUACAAUUGAUUCAUAUUAUGUGUAUCUUUGUACUCACCAUUGCUGGAUGAAAAUUUGGACAUACAUAGAUAGCUCUAGAUGUAGCCUAAAUGCUUUUUUACUCCUCAUAUAAUCACUGUUGUGAAUCCUUGUGCCUUUGCAACACCUCAUGUCCUAUAGGAAUGAUGUUCUAACCUAUCUGUGUAAAUUUAAAUUUUAAAUAUUGCAAAUAAAUUAGAAGAUAGACAUGCUUCCAUCCAUGCAGCAAGGCCAACAACAUGCAAGAGCACUGCCUUUUUAUUUAGCAUGCCAGUAAUAUUAUAGCUCUGGGGAUAAUAUUCUUGCACACUUUAGAUGCCAUUUGAUAGAUUGGGAGGACAGGUAAAUUUACAUAUGACAGCAGAGUUCUCUUCACCAAGUAUAUGUCAAUACAUGUCUCAAUGGCAUGGCUUUGGGAUCGAGAUCUACCUUGCUAACGUUACAGAUCAAUUGUCAAUAGCUUGUUGAAAAUCUCCCCUUGUUUGUAAUGUAAGGAUCUUAUGUAAUCUUAAGGUUUGCAGCUAAUAGAGAAACCCAAUCCAAGUAAAAGUUUUCAACCCAAUCCAAGUAAAAGUUUUCAGUAUUGCUUAAUUGUGUGAGUGAUUAACACUUUUUGGUUGUGCUGAAUUUCACUCCUACAUAGUUUUAUUGACAAUUUUUAUAUUCCUUUCAUUCAAAUGAGGCACAAGAUAGAUCACAUCUAUCGCAACGUAUUGGAGAUCCAUGCCCCUUGGUGUUCAAGAAAACCAUACUCACCAGAUAUUGCCACAAGGUUACUGGCAAAGCAGUACCAAUCUUGAUGAUUUGUGUAGGCAGGCCACCCAUAUGCUUGAGGAGGAAAUAUUAACGGUGUUGUAUCUCAGGUGGCAUGACUUUUUUUGUAAAGGGCAGAGUGGGUUUCUUUUUUCCCCAAUGAGCAUGUUGAUCCUUGUGGACAAC